GAAGGGAGGCGGCUCUGAUCAGGCUGGGCGACGCGGAGCGGCAGAGCCGUCGGGCUGGGCGGCACGGAGCGGCGUCGGCGCCGGGUGGCACAGCGAAAGAGGCGGCGGGCAUGACGGGGCGUUUUUUUUUUCCUCGCGAACCGGAAAGAAAAUGUUUCGACAGAGAGGCAGUGUUUUUUUCCCAGGCCGUGCCACCCUGGGUAAUUUGGGCUACGGCUUGUGCCGUCACCACCAACUCCAAUUUAAUACUUCCUCCGUUCUAAAAUACAGUUCAUAUAGAUUUGUGUAUUUGGACCAAAACACCACUCAUUUCUAGUGCCUGACCAUUCAUAUUGAGUCAAUAAUAAAUGAACAUAAGUAGUUAUUGGCUGGGUGCGGAUACCAAGAAAAAAAAUAAGAUGUAUUAUGAAAGAAAUGAAAAAAAUCUAUACACGUUGUAUUGUGAAACGGAAAGAGCAGAUAAUAAUAGAUAUAUAAAACGGUGAACUCAUGUUAUGCUCUUUGGUCGUUGGAUCUUAACCACAGUAUUAGCAUAUUUUAGAGUACAACAGAUUCAUAUAUUAGUAUUAUCCAACUAUAAACCUGUUGAUAUUAGCAUGGUGCAGAUGAGUCUAUUAGCAUGGUGCAGACUAGGCGCCUCCCGGGCGGUACUUAGCGCACUGAGACGCGACAGUAAAGGCAUAGGCUGGUUUUGACGGGAAGGUUGGCAGGUGUUUUACACUGGGCCAUGACGCUCAAAGCAAGCAUGGAGCAAAGAAGGGCAAAAGAGCAGCGCCGCCACCGCCGUUGUCUGCUUCCCGUCAGUCCGGCUCUCUCCGGCCAACUUGCCGCCGCCGCCUCCCCUCUCUCCGCAGCGCCGCCGCCCGUGGUCUUUCCCGCGGUGGAUCUCACACGGUCACACCCCCCAGAGCGACACGGCUGACGGCGGCACGUCCGUCCCCGAGAAGCUUCCCGCCGUCCUUCUUAUCUACCCAUCUCCACGUGCGUCGGAGAUCUUGCCUUGGUGCAGGAGAGAUGAAGCUUAUGGCGCCACCCGUGCUGAAGCCUUCGUCAUCCGGCGCAUGCGGCUCCUCCACGUCGUCCGACGGCGGCGGGCCUGGCUCCGAGGCAUUCCUGCUAGCGAAUGCCACAUACGUCAGCCACUUCGGGUACUUUCAGCAUGGCGCCCCCCGCGAGUUCAUCGUCUUCGUUGUGCGCACUGUCGCCCAACGCACCCAGCCCGGCCAGCACGAAGGUAACUACCCCCUCCCAGAUCUGCCUCCCGCUACCCAGGUCAACCUUUUCAGGUUAACACCCAAAGAACGCAGAUGUUCCUCUGCCCGAAAUGCUAUAUGUAAUACUGAGUAUUUGAUUUAGUGAUGAAAUCUGGAUGAUAAAUAAAAUAGAAUGCAGAUUUAUCAAUGAAAUUAGAAUGUUGAUGAUAACAUUUGAUUUCACCCCCAUUCUGUACUACUCUAUUUGUCGUAGCAAAGAAGCCAGUUCGGCUCUGGCCCUUUGUCGCUGCGUAUACCCCUUCCUUGCUCUUCGCAAGACUUGUUUACCUAGUUCCUCUCAAAAUUUGACACAUUGGUGUCAUGGAUUUAUACAAUGUGUGGAUUUAUCCAGUCUAUUGAUCUACGUGGUCCUUUGAUCUCAGCAAUCCUCAUCCUGCAUCAGUUACGUUUAUAUUCUAUUGCUAAUGUUCAUCUGUCAUACCUUUCCUGGGAUUGAAAUCUCCUUCAGCAGAUCAGUGGUUCAUCGCGCUCAAAGAACUAUAUUUGUUCAUAUAUGUGAGAUGCCCAUUCAUGUGAAACAUCAGCGGAACUGAAGGAGAUCAUCGGUUCAUUGCUGUCAAAGAACUGUACAUGUUCAUACGUGUGAGAUGUCCAUUCAGGAGAAACAUCAGCGGAACUAUAGCUCUUUUCUUUUUCUUCUCCACUUUCAUUACCUAUUAACUUCAUAAGACCUGCCUCUUUAUGUCUUUCGUAGUUGAAGCAAGCAAAGCUCAAUAAUGCAAUUGAUCAUUGACAAUUUUUGCUACUGUGCAGGUAUUAGUAGGCAAUUGUCCAGUUUUGCAGGAUGUAUCUGGCAUGCUCUUUGUCAUAUCCUUUCUCUAAAUUAAUGACAUGCUGAAAUCUCCAACUCUCAUUGCUUCAAAAUAUUACUGCUCUAUCUCAUAAGUAAAGGUAAAGAUCUCUUUGUAUGGAAACUUCUUCACUGAAAGUUAGUUGUUUCAUAAUGCAAUGAUCCUGUAACUACAGGUGGCAUUGCCAUUCAAAUUGUUCUACUAGAAAAUUGGAUAGGGUAAAAUAUAGAGAAGAAAAAUGAUUCACUGAAACAUUCCGUAGAAUUCAUGCAACCAUGGAAUUAUUUGUAUUUUACAAUGUUGGCCUAACAUCAAUGGUAUGCACCCCAAGAAAUAAAACACAUGUGUAGCAAAUUAUUGAAAAUUGCUUUCUUAGGCUGAAUAUCUAAGAUUGUAUACCUAUAAUUCAUAAACUGAUGUAAAUAUUGGGCCAUAAUCAACAAAGGAACUUCAUGGAAUAUUUUUUGGUUUCCUUCUCUUUCUCAUGCUCGGGUCUGCCUUUGUCUGUCUAAAUAUGGUGUUCUUUGGCACAUAUUAUCCUUGGGUGCAUCAUCUAUCGAUCUGCAUCCCGCGGACCAGUGAGUUCUGCCUUCUUGGUGAGUGGUUAUAGUGUCUUCCGCCACGUAUUUUAUCGGGUAAUUUUACUUGUGGAUUUUAGCUUGCCAAACUAACAGAGUAACAGAUCCCAUCAUAGAUAUUUGGGUAGUUAAUAUUGUACCGAUUUAGUAUCGUAUCGACUCUCCCGGCUGACGACGACAGCAAUCCUGCCCUCCAAAGAGGUUGUGCGUGUAAGUGUAACUUCAAAUUUCUCUCAAGUCCAAAUUUCAAAUCAUGUUCCAGUUUCUUAACUUUUGCCUAAUGCAUGUUUACUUCCUUUGUGAGAUAUGUUCUAGGUAUACAUUUCAUGUUCAUUGUAGUGUUAUUUUUGUUCCAGUCAAAUGAAUAGCACCCUGCGGAGCCAGCUCCAACUCAUGUCACUUUCAACGUACAUGUUGAACCUCAAAUGGUAGCAUCUUUGAUGUGUUUGCUUAACCUGAAAGACACCGGAACCCUGAAGCACCCUGACAUAACUGAGUAUUGAAAAAUCGCAAAACAUUGUAUUUCCCCAUUUCAUGAUUACAUAUACUAAUUGUUCAUUUCUUA